UCAGAAUCAUCCUAACUAAACCAGGCGUUACCUUCCAGACCUAUCUGAAUAAUCCGAUCCCAUGUAUACCAAUCCCCAAGACAAGCGGUUAUGUUAGGUUUAAUGUUGGAAAUCAGCUUUGGUUACUUCAUAUGGUUCAAGGCAAGUGUGUAGUUGAUAGGUUGAUUCGCUUUAGCAUCUUUAGUGCUAUCUGCAAUCACUAAAUCUAAAAUGGUGCUAAAGAUUGGUUAGAUAUUCAUGUUUAAAUUAAUAUAACAUUAUAGUCCCUAUUUUCAAUAGCUAAGCAUAAUUUAUUUGAAAUUCCUUUUUACAUAAGAAUAAUAAAUUGUAUCAGUAAAUCUCCUCCCAGACUUAAAUUAUAUUGUCCCAGUGUAACUCAGCCGGAGUUAUGAUGAAUAGUUUAUGAUGUACGAAUGUAACAAGUAAGGAAGAUACAUCUGACCGGAUUAGAUAUCGAUCGAUGUGGC
rnacentral:lncRNA from 1 species